rnacentral:lncRNA from 1 species
CCUCAUUCCCUUCUCAUCUUUGCCCUAAUAAAACCUUUGGCAACACUCUUACCAGUAACCACCGUCUAUACGCAUCGCCACCGUCACCGCAACCACAUAUGGGUAAAGCUGCAAACAACGCCCCGAAAUCUUCACUAUCUAUUGUUGAUUGCUUUCAGCGGACUUGCUGGACUGGAAAUCGAUGCAAAUCUGAUGUGAAUAUGAUGAUAAUAUGAACAGAUCUCAGAUCUCCGGUUGAAUUUCUUCUCUCCGAUGAGAGUGAUGAAGGCAGUAGGCUUUUUGAUAGAAGCUUUCGGUUCAAUGAUAUCUCCCGAUGACAUGGCGUCCGCGUACUGCCAAGCGGGAUGAUCUAAAUAAAGCAAGUGAUAUGUCGCUAAGGCACCGACUGAAACUAUGAACAGUGAUAUCGAGAUGUUCUUGCUUCAGAUGCUUGGAGAUGGUUUUCAGUUAGAUAUCAAAGUAAUCAGAGAAGUUCUUGGUAAGAAUUUUAUUGUUUUCAUAUCCCCAAAUUAUUAGUAAUUGGGCUUAAUCUUUUGACCUUUGCAAUAAAUCCUUGUGGGCUCAUAAUGGGCUGCUUCAGAUGAAUAAAAAAGAAACUCAAGGCAGUUCCAGCUUUGCAGGGGAUCGCAUAACAAGUUAUAAGAAUAGCAUUCAAUAAUAGAAUUUUACACAUAAUUAAUUGUCUUUAUCUAUUAUUGUUUAUUGUUUGAACUUUGUUAGUGUGUGAAUUUGUGUUUUUAUAGUAGGGUUAAUAGUCUCAUGGACAUAUCCACAUUUUCUCUGUCGGAGACGAAGAGAGAAUAAAAUUGGUAGGCCCCGGCAAGUUGAAGUUUGGUUCCAAAACAGAAGAGCCAGGUAUAUAUAUUACUCCACGUUGCAAACAAAAUUAUGUAUGCCAUAAAUCUAGAAAAUUAUAAAUAUUUUGAUGAUUUGUAAUUUUAUAAAAAAAAAGAGUUUUAUAACAUAUGAUUUAAAUCAUGUACAAAAUAUCGAUCUUCUUUCUUAUCUUUCAAAUUUUCUAAAUAAAAAACACAAAGUUGUAGUUGUAGUGAAUUGAUGGUCAGCCACACAAUACUCUUCUUAUAUGAGGCAUGGCAAUGUCAAAA